rnacentral:rRNA from 1 species
AUUGAACGCUGGCGGCAUGCCUAACACAUGCAAGUCGAGCGGUUGAGGGGAGCUUGCUCCUGGAGUCAGCGGCAGACGGGUGAGUAAUGCCUAGGAAUCUGCCUGGUAGUGGGGUAUAACGUCCGAAAACGGGCUCUAAUACCGCAUACGUCCUGGGGGAGAAAGGGGGGGAUCUUCGGACCUCACGCUAUCAGAUGAGCCUAGGUCGGAUUAGCUAGUUGGUGGGAUAAAGGCCUACCAAGGCGACGAUCCGUAACUGGUCUGAGAGGAUGAUCAGUCACACUGGGACUGAGACACGGUCCAGACUCCUACGGGAGGCAGCAGUGGGGAAUAUUGGACAAUGGGCGCAAGCCUGAUCCAGCCAUGCCGCGUGUAUGAAGAAGGUCUUCGGAUUGUAAAGUACUUUAAGUCGGGACGAAGGGCAGUCAGUUAAUACAUUGCUGUCUUGACGUUACCAAAAGAAUAAGCACCGGCUAACUACGUG